rnacentral:rRNA from 1 species
GAUGAACGCUAGCGGCAGGCCUAACACAUGCAAGUCGAGGGAGAAGCCCUUUCGGGGGCAGAAACCGGCGCACGGGUGCGUAACGCGUAUGCAACCUACCUUUCACAGGGGGAUAGCCCGAAGAAAUUUGGAUUAAUACCCCAUAAUAUUAUUGGAUAGCAUCAUUUGAUAAUUAAAACUGCGGUGGUGAAAGAUGGGCAUGCGUCCUAUUAGCUAGUUGGAGUGGUAACGGCACCCCAAGGCUACGAUAGGUAGGGGUCCUGAGAGGGAGAUCCCCCACACUGGUACUGAGACAGGGACCAGACUCCUACGGGAGGCAGCAGUGAGGAAUAUUGGUCAAUGGUCGGAAGACUGAACCAGCCAUGCCGCGUGCAGGAAGAAUGCCUUAUGGGUUGUAAACUGCUUUUAUAUGGGAAGAAUAAGGCGUACGUGUACGUUGAUGACGGUACCAUAUGAAUAAGCAUCGGCUAACUCCGUG